ACUCUUGUUUGAUUUGCUUUGAUUUGCAU
rnacentral:piRNA from 1 species